UUUUCUCCUCCUUGAAGGUGCUCCUUAAUCU
rnacentral:piRNA from 1 species